CUCCUGCUCCUGCUCCUGAUCGCUUUGUAAACUGUUAGAGGUUAAGAGAAAUAGUCUUAAGAGAGCUGAGCUGUUUGCUCAGGCUUAAGCAGGAAACCGCACCUAGCCCUGGGCAGGUGUUCCAGGGAGUUUAGAAGCCAUAAGAAUUACUCAAGCAGACAGCCUCCUGGAAACAUCCGUUAGGGUGGAAAAAUUUUACCCCCCCCCCCCCCCACAUAACCCGAGCACGAGCUGUUCGUGAACCUCACAGGCCAAUCAUCAGCAAGAUCAUAAGCCCCUGAGCCAAUGGCUAAUUGCCACCUUCUUCUGGAAAGUCGCUUGCUUGCUCGCUUCUAUAAGAACCCUAGCCUGUAAGCGUUUGGCGCGACUCUCAUCUGCAGCCAUUUUGGCACGGUGUCCCCGGACAUCCCGAGAGUUCGCCCCUGCGCAGGUAAAGCUUUGGCCCAAUAAACAUCUUUGACUACCCGACAGUCUCCGUCCUUUCUCUCUCCCGAAAGUGGGAUGUAACAUUUGGAGGCCCCAGCGAGGUAUAAGUUCGAAGACUGGAUGGGUUGCUCGAGCAAACGCCCCUGCAAGCACUGCAGAAGAUCCAGAACGAGGUGCAUGCUUUUCGGCAGGCCCAACACCGAGAAGGGGGAAGCGAGACACCGGAAUCGCCAGAGCCUGGACAAUGGGUAUGGAUCCUCAACCUUAGGAAAGAAAACUUAGAACCUCGGUGGAUUGGACCAUUCCAGGUACUGUUAAGCACCCCCACUGCAGUCUGGGUAGCGGAGAAACCAUAUUGGAUCCAUCUUUCCCACACCAAGACAGCCCGGGCGCCGGAGGAGAAAUCUCAAGGAUGGCGAGUUCAGCAGGACCAGGACAAGCCCCUAAAACCCACCUUCUCCCGUGCUUAGGGAUGCGGCUCGUCUGUUGGGCCACUCUCGCAAGGGGACACACCCAUCAGUGGGUUCUACUUAGAUCCCCUGAUAGUGAAGUGAUUGCCACCAACAACACGGGACACCAACAGCCCCUGUGACUCUUCAGGCUGACCUCUCACAAUGGUUCGACCACAGGCUCUGUGAUGGGGAUGGACUUCAUUCUGAUGACCCGAACCGGGCUCAAACCCAACGGGGGGCUGCAGGGGAAGAAGGAUCAGAUUGUAAGAAUAAUGAAAAUCUGAACAGAGAUCUGUUUCACACAGACCUCUACGCAUGUCCAGAGAGAAAAGGGCGUGUGCGCACAACAGGCUCCUGUGGUGGAAUAAUUGGAGAUUACUAUUGUAAAAAGUGGGGCUGCGAGACUAUCGUCUCGCCCCCCCUCAUGGACUCCAGGGGCAGGAAAAGAUCCACACAUCAUCACAAGGGAUAGGUCCAGCACACCAGGAAACAAGGAGAACCCCCGCUGUGCUCAAGAUAGAUGCAACCCUGUCACAGUAACAAUCCUGGACCCCAGCAAUUCUGGAUGGGAAAAGGGUCGCACCUGGGGGCUGUGUUUAUACACCUUGCAGUGGAAUCCAGGAGUCCUUUUCACGAUUAGGCGAGUCCCCCAGGCAGAAGGGCCAGUUAUGAAAGGAUUUGGGAAUGGCUUGCCACCGAGGCCUUCCCGGCCUCUCAUAAGCCCCCCUAAGGUUCCCAGCAGACCAGGGACACCCACCCCAGAGAGUCCAACAGGAACUGACCAUCAGGAACCCCUAGAUACCCAGAACCUGCUCCUUGAAAGACCCCACCACCAAGAAGCAGACACCCUAGACCUGCUAGAUAAGAUUUUCCCCUUUUUCAAUGACACUCAGCCAGACCUCACAGAGUCGUGUUGGCUGUGCUUAUGUAGGGAUAGGAGCCAACACGACUGCGGGAAGCGCCAAUGCCCCAGAGGCCCUGACAGAUCAUCAGAGAAUAGGAGACUGUCUGACUGAUAGUGCGUUGACCCUUGCAGAGUUCCACGGAAAUGGGACCUGCUACCUCCUCAGCAACUUUAGUUUACCCUCCUCCAACUAUAGUGAUUAUUGUUUAAAUCAGGAGAUAGUGCCCCAGCCCGGCCGCGGACAUCAACCCGCACAGCAAGUUACUCAGGCAGCUGAGGGGCUAUGGUUCAUUUGUACACAAGGGAUAUUUAAGUGCUUAGUGCCCACAGGUCGCCCCAAACUGUGUGUAAGCGCAUAUAUCAUUCCCCAAGUAUAUUUAUAUGGAGGAAACCCCACCUCUCUAGUAGAACCCCGUAGAUGAACCACGAGGGCCCCCUUGUUAAUCCCCAUAUUGGCCACUGUUGGUAUACUAGGCUCCACAGCUGUAGGAGCUGGGGCGAUUGUCCGUGGUGAACGGAGCCUAAAGCAACUGUUGCUAUCUUCAAGGAAAUCACCCUACUACAAGAUCAGGUAAUUUAUCUCGAGCGUCGGGUAGACUCCCUGGCUGAGGUAGCCCUGCAGAAUAGAAGAGGACUAGACCUCCUCCUCCUACAGCAAGGUGGGCUAUGUGCUGCCCUAGGAGAACAAUGCUGUUUUUAUGCCAACCAUUCUGGAAUAAUUCGAGAAAAUAUCAAAAUCCUCACUAAAAGAUUAAAGGAUAGGGAGCAAGAAGAAGAAAACUCUAGUUGGUAUGCAUCCCUGUGUAAGACCUCACCGUGGCUGACCACGCUAAUAUCUGCUGUAGCUGGCCCCAUUUUGAUUCUUAUAUUAGCACUAACCAUAGGACCUAUAAUAUUAAACAUUAUUAGCCUUCAUCAAAGAAAGAAUAGAAAUAGUGAAAUUAAUGGUACUCUCUCAACCCUAUACAAUUCUCCCCUCUGACGAAAAUGAGUCAAGGGUUUGACCCAUUGUCCAAGAAGAUGGGGGAAUGUUAGAGGAUAAGAGAAAUAGUCUUAAGAGAGCUGAGUUGUUUGCUCAGGCUUAAGCAGGAAACUGCACCUAGCCCUGGGCAGAUGUUCCAGGGAGUUUAGAAGCGAUAAGAAUUACUCAAGCAGACAGCCUCCUGGAAACAUCCAUUAGGGUGGAAAAAUUUUACCUCCCCCCCCCACAUGACCCGAGCACGAGCGGUUUGUGAACCUCACAGGCCAAUCAUCAGCAAGAUCAUAAGCCCCUGAGCCAAUGGCUAAUUGCUACCUUCUGCUUCUGGAAAGUCGCUUGCUUGCUCGCUUCUGUAAGAACCCUAGCCUGUAAGCGUUUGGCGCGACUCUCAUCUGCAGCCAUUUUGGCACGGUGUCCCCGGACAUCCCGAGAGUUCGCCCCUGCGCAGGUAAAGCUUUGGCCCAAUAAACAUCUUUGACUACC